rnacentral:miRNA from 1 species
GAAUUGAUUAUGUUUGGAUACACU